ACGUACACUCCUACGGGAGGCAGCAGUGGGGAAUUUUGGACAAUGGGCGAAAGCCUGAUCCAGCCAUGCCGCGUGCAGGAUGAAGGCCUUCGGGUUGUAAACUGCUUUUGUACGGAACGAAACGGCCUUUUCUAAUAAAGAGGGCUAAUGACGGUACCGUAAGAAUAAGCACCGGCUAACUACGUGCCAGCAGCCGCGGUAAUACGUAGGGUGCAAGCGUUAAUCGGAAUUACUGGGCGUAAAGCGUGCGCAGGCGGUUAUGUAAGACAGUUGUGAAAUCCCCGGGCUCAACCUGGGAACUGCAUCUGUGACUGCAUAGCUAGAGUACGGUAGAGGGGGGUGGAAUUCCGCGUGUAGCAGUGAAAUGCGUAGAUAUGCGGAGGAACACCGAUGGCGAAGGCAAUCCCCUGGACCUGUACUGACGCUCAUGCACGAAAGCGUGGGGAGCAAACAGGAUUAGAAACCCUGGUAGUCCCA
rnacentral:rRNA from 1 species